AGAGAAAGAGAGAGAGAGAGAGAAAGAAAUAGAUAUUCAGAGCGCAGUUAUGGAUAAUUCGAUUCCAUCUGCUUCUCUUUCUCUUUCUCUUCCUCUUCCUGCUUCUGUAUC
rnacentral:ribozyme from 1 species